AUAUUGCACAAUGGGCGAAAGCCUGAUGCAGCGACGCCGCGUGGGGGAUGACGGCCUUCGGGUUGUAAACCUCUUUCAGUAGGGAAGAAGCGAAAGUGACGGUACCUGCAGAAGAAGCGCCGGCUAACUACGAGCCAGCAGCCGCGGUAAUACGUAGGGCGCAAGCGUUGUCCGGAAUUAUUGGGCGUAAAGAGCUCGUAGGUGGCUUGUCGCGUCUGCCGUGAAAACCCGAGGCUCAACCUCGGGCGUGCGGUGGGUACGGGCAGGCUAGAGUGUGGUAGGGGAGACUGGAACUCCUAGUGUAGCGGUGAAAUGCGCAGAUAUCAGGAAGAACACCGAUGGCGAAGGCAGGUCUCUGGGCCAUUACUGACACUGAGGAGCGAAAGCAUGGGGAGCGAAC
rnacentral:rRNA from 1 species